UUUCUUUACCAAUUGCCCAAAUAUAUGAAGUGACAAAAAAAAAAUCCAAGACACAAAAAUGGAAAUUGAGAUCUAUUCCUAAUCCCUCCGCCGUCGAAGAAGCAUUUGGCGCAACUCUCCUUCAAACUCUCGUUGCCGUCGAAGAACAACUCUCCUUCAAUCUCUUGUCGCGCAUCUCUCCUCUCCGUUGCCGUUGAAAAAAACUAAACAGAAACCCUAAAAUUGUGCCUCUCUUCCUUCUCACUCCCAGACCUUCACGAUGCCUCUCUUCCUUCUCCCAGCGACUCAAUCUUCUUCUUCUUCUCUGAAACCACCUACCGCCACCCACCGUCGAGCACCACCCGCCAUAAAGAGAUGUCGUGAAGUGAUGUGACGGAGACCGAAUUUAAUGUGGUAGCACUAGGUUCAUAGGUCUUUGGUUCUGGGACUCUGUUCCCCUCUUUCUCCGUUUCAACUCUUUUCGGAUAUUUUUCACAGGUCAGAUUCGUGGUAGGCUCUUGUUUCAAAAUUAGAAAUUAGGUUUGGUAGUUAUAUGUUUCUGAAUCUGAUUUUAAGGAAUAGGGUUCCAAAGUGACAGUUUUUAUAUUUACUUGUUAGUAGGGAUCUUAAAAAUUAUUGAAUUUGAAAUGGGGAAGUUGAGAAAUUAAUGUUUUGCAUGAUUCUAAAUAUCUGGGUUUAGACUCAGCUAUUUCUAGAUUUUUUUUUUUGCCUAAUCAAUUGAUUCAAUUUGCAUUCUAGUAUUUAUUUAAAGAGCAAAUAAAACAUGAGAGGAUAGUAUUUAUUUUUUGUUAAUUGGAUGCUAGCUGAUGUGAACUAUUUUGUUAGUUGAUGUGAACUUUGAAUCUAAUGUUUAUAUUAUGAUUAUGAUAUUGUUUGAUCGUGUUUCAAGUUUUCACCAUGUUGAGGUUUAAUUUGAUGCAUAUGUUCUCAUUUGAUUUAGAUUGUCUUCAAAGAAAGAAUUAAAUAAAUGCUAUAAAAUCCAUUGGAUAUCUUCUCAUUGUACUUCUAGCUUAACAAUUUAUGCCUUUCCUAUAUAUCAUCUCCUUUUCUUUAUCCUUUUCUGAUUGAUAUUUGAAAUCCUUUUUAGUCCUAGCUUCCUUGUCAUAAUUUGAGGGAGUUAAUCAGGGUUGGUCCUAUUUGUUCAAAUGUUUAUCUAUAAUUCAAAGCAAAACAACAACGCCUUUCCAGAAUGUUGGUUUUAGGUGCAGACGGAAUCCUGGUGUUUUUAAAGUCAUUAUUUCAAAACAACAAUGCCUAUUAUGAUUACUCCUACAACCUUGCAGAAGUUGGCUUACCCUGAAGAAGAAUAUGCCACUGCUAGAGCAGCAUCAACAGCUGACGCCAUCAUGGUUUGAUUUGCAUCAAAUAUCUUGUGUGACCUCAUCUCUCUCGCUUUCCGUCUUUUCUAAUGAACACACAUGUUGUAUUCAGUGUUCAGCUCAUUUGUGAUCUCUAUGGAAGGAAAUGCUUCAGAAACACUUUACAAGUUGUUACUGAUGAUAUGAAAGUGCAACUUGUAAAAGGGAUGCUUCGUAAGUUAUCCAGACAUGUAGUAAUCAACACUAUGCAAACGCCGUCGUCACGAGAGAAUUUAUGUUUGCCACAAUUUUGUCUUACAAAUUAUGUUUGGUUUUGAUAGUUUUAUGGUGUAGACUUUACUUUCGAUUUGUUAGACAUAUACUUGGUUUUUUUUUCUUAGUGUUGUUGUAUGACAUAAUGGUUGUCACUUUUAAGAUUCUCAAAAUUCAGUUUCACACUACGUUUAAUUUGUUUGUGGGUUGAGAUAUUGUGUUUGUCACUUUGUAUAUAUAUGACUAUGACUAUUGUUUUAUGGAUCUUUGUGGUGGGAGAGAAUUUUACUAAA